AUCUCGAAGGAUUGCGUCUCAUUUAUCACGCAAACCAAACUCAAAAUUGCGUCAAUAUAAGGACGCAUUCUCUUUUAUGUCACACAUGCGCAGUGGCCACUCUGCUGUCUGGAGCCCCCCUGAGAUCUUUGUAGCCUAAUUUACUGAAAAAUAAGCCGUUAUUCAUGUUGCUCCACAUAACCGCGUAUUGCAACUUCAUAAUUAAAUCCCCACAACAAAAUACUGAGCUUAUGGGCUAUUUUAGUCACAUUUUAGUUCCUAGACAAAAGUCUGUUUUGCUAGGAUAUUAAUAAAAUAACAGAAACUGUUUUAUCCUAUACGAGAGCAUUUGUAGUAUUUGUCCAGAAGACUUUUGUGGCUGAAAACCAUUCAACCAGUAAGGUUUUUGAAAUAUUCAUUGUAAAUAACCCUGAUGUACCCCCACUGUUUAUGAUGAUGUCAUUUCAUCGCGACCUCCAUGCAUUGGAUUGUGGAUUUGAUUGUACUGCCUGCAGUAUGAUGUGGUUUGGCUGAGCUUUAUUCAUCAAUUGGUAAGUUAAUCUGAUAAAUUAGAUAUUUAUGAUCUACCCUAUUUGAAUGCUUGACACAGCGGCACAUCGGGAUGAUCAUGCAAUUUGUUUAUCACACAAUUCCCACUUCAUUUGUUAAGCUAACUUGGUUUUACGAGCUAGCUGCUUACACCCGUAUUGUAUUGCUCGCGUGAUUUGUGAUGUUAACAGUUUGUUUAGUCCAUAAUUUAUUAACGUGAUUGUUUAUAUGCGUGCCAUCUCAGCCACAUCCACCUCUGGUUUGCAUGUAACAUCAAAAUUAGCUGCAAGUUCAGUGUGGUGCAACUAAGUUAGCCUAGCUUUACCAAAGGUGUUGUAUGAUGGUUCUCCCUUUCCAAGGUCUCUGGCUUUUCCAAAUUCGACAUUAGCUCAUUUUGCAUCACUAACUAAUCAGUAUUAAUCUGUAUUUUGUGUGCAAAGUGCCGUUGAAAAUAUCUGAAAAAGGAGAUCUGAACAGAAAUAAGAGGAGCUAUUAAGUCACACCAACCUAAUUGUCUCUUCUAAGCACAAUCUUCUCGUUGAUUUAAUGCAUGUUAUAUUUUCCAUCCUCUCCACAGAAUAUGACAACAUUGUCUUCAUAUGGCUGUUUGUAUGCAUUAUCUAACUGAAGUUGUGUGUGGUUUUUCUGUUGCACAUUUAAGAAACUUACUAUUUCUUUUGGUCUAAAUCUUACUUUACAGUUUUACGUCUCCAGUUUUCCCUGAGGUCCAAAAUAUUCAGUGGAGUGAAACUGUUGAUGGAAGUACAGUGCAUUACCAGGCGAAUACACCGGUGGCGACAAGAUCAAGCGACAGAGAAUCGCUGGACUGUGCAGCAAGAGUGAUAGAAGUAUGUCCGUUAAAAGCAGAAUGCAAGCAGUCCAACAUUCCAAUUGGCUGUGGCGACUGUUGCAAUACCACAUCAUAGCUUAUUUGAAUAAUAAGUAAAACUACAAACUGUCGCUCAAGUCGCGCGAAUUGCCUCUAGUUGCCCGAAUCACUUUUGUUGCGCGACUCAAUGCAAAGUCAAUUACUUCCGUCGCUGGAAUCGCUGAUGUAGUGCUUGGUCUAUUUGUGACGGAUAUGUUGUGGUAGGCUAUUCACCUUCUAUUCUUGCUAUGGUUCAUUCUUCUGUUUCAGCAGCAAAAUGUAACAAGCUUGUCCUGGAGGACUGCUCUGAUGGGGAAUGCUGUGGAGGAGAGACAGGUAGAAUGUGGUCCAUCGUGUGUGCUCCCAGUGCGUUAAUACACGGACAGUCCUUUUUAAGUGCAACCAGAGGAAUAAUGUGAUUGAGAGGAAGAGUGGCCCCAUACAUUGCUUGACCUGGAGCCUACCAAAGUCUAAGGUCUCAGGUGUCUCCAGAAGAACACAUCCCAAUGAAGACCCCAGUCAUAGUCAUCAACUUGACAGCUCAGCCUGUUACCUGAACUGUGUUCUUAGAGCCAAGUGUAACUGAGGUGUUUCCACACAGUCUGUCCCCUUUAGAUCUUGAACUUGCCACCACCUAGUCAACGCAUCGGUUCGGGUAUGGGAGGCACAGCACGAUACCGCUGAGCUAAAUGACCAGUCCCUUAGCUCAGCGCUGCUGGUAUGAGGCUUCGGGAGGGAGGUUUACUAUCCUUCCAUGCCACACUCUGCUAGUUGGCCUCCGUUACACAAGCUCAAAUAAUCCAAGCAGCCAAUCCAACUUCUUCAGUACUGCCUUUGAACACUAUGAAGAACCACUCAGAACCACUGGUCCUAGAACUAAAUGACCACAUUAUACUGUUAAAGGUCCACUGUGUAGGAUGGUGAUCAGAGCAGGUAUUGCACCUAUGCUGCUCAUUGCAACUGUACUACCUAUUGUCCAUUUUGACUUUUGAAUUUUCAAGAAUUUUACCAAGUAUUUACUAGUAUGUACCAAUAUUUACUAGUAUGACCAAAAUACAGUACAUUAUGCAACUAAAUUCAAGAUGGUGGACAAUGGACUCCUUUCAUGUUUUCAUGAAAAGUGUAAUUUUCCCAGUCAUAAUGAAUACUCAGAAUUUGAUGGUGGUAAGUAUUCUGAAAAAGGUUACAUUUGUGAAUGGCCUGAAUGAAUUCUGGAAAGAAACUGCUUAAAAAUAUUACACAGCGUACCUUUUAACAUUUCAUCUGUAGUAACAGAAUGUAGCGUUUCUCAGCUGCGACUCAAACCUAGACCCUCUUUCGUGGUGGUUGUUGUAAUGACACACUAAAAGCGAUAAUAUCUGCAUGAAGCUGCUCAGAAAGUGUCACUGGAUAUAUACCUUGAUAAAAGCAACAGAAUCUUCAAAGAAGAACAGAUACAAAAUGGGAUGCAUGCAUCAUGACAUUCCAACUGGUUGCAGUGAUAUUCAUGGAAAUGUCUAAUGCCUUUUCACCAUUAACUUAAACUUCUUUUAUGUUCUGUUCUUGUCUCUUUGUUAUGAUUGAAUUAGGAGUUUUAAUUUACACAAAAGCUGACACAUUUCCCACCUUUCUGUUAAGACUUGGUCCUAAGUGUUCUGAUUUGUUUGCUGUUUUAUACCUUGUGAAUAUUGAUGAUUUUUUAAUGAUUUUUAAUAAACUAUUUUGAUCAUUACAUUGCACGUCUUAGUUAUUUACAGGAUUUUGGUCACAGUCCCUGGAGAUGUGUGGGUUUAGGUGCGUUGCACAAGGGCACUUCAGCUGAGGAUGUCGGGCGAGGUAAAGCUGGGAUUCAAACAUGCAACCCUCUGAUCUUAAACUCAUUUCCUCAAGCAUUAGACCACGACUGAUCACCUUGUUUUACUGGUGAUUUCAUGUUUAAUGCAAUAAAUAAAACAUCUUAGCAUUGAUGAUGCCCUUAGUCAUUACUGUCAUUGUCUUUUAAAGUAUGAUCACUGCAUUUUGGUCAUGGUUAUAAGGCCAAGUUAGGCUAACACUGACUUGAGGAGUCUUCAGUGCAGCAUAUUGAUAAAGUCCAGACACUGAGUUA